CCCUUAGAUGUCCUGGGCCGCACGCGCGUUACACUGAUGCAUUCAACGAGCUUAUAACCUUGGCCGAGAGGCCUGGGCAAUCUUGUUAACGUGCAUCGUGAUAGGGAUAGAUUAUUGAAAUUAUUAAUCUUGAACGAGGAAUUCCUAGUAAACGCAGAUCAUCAAUCUGCAUUGAUUACGUCCCUGCCCUUUGUACACACCGCCCGUCGCACCUACCGAUUGAAUGGUCCGGUGAAGCCUCCGGAUUGGCGUGCACCCUCGGGUGCUGCCGAGAAGUUGGCUAAACCUUACCAUUUAGAGGAAGGUGAAGUCGUAACA
rnacentral:rRNA from 1 species